AGCAUGUCCUUUUCAAAUCGCAAAUGUAAAGCAAUAUAGGGGCCAUAUGAUCUCAUCCGAUCAACCAACAUCUUUCCCAUUGCUUCAAUCUUCGGAGCAAAUCGAAGGGCUUCAUAACAAGCUCGACAACGCAGCUUCUGAAUAUCAGGAGGCAGGUUAUUAUUCGCCAAUCUUGAAUCAGACUUGGCGGCUCGAAUGAUCUGGUAUUCAUCCCACAGUCGUGCAAUCUCUUCCUCAUAGUAAUCCACACCAGACCAACUCCUAAAAUGUUUGACUGCUUUAGUUGCAGAUGCCAGUUCCUUCGGUAGCUUUUUGACAACAUUUACAUCGUUUUUCAAAGAAAUAAUAAAAUGGUCUUCAUCAAAGACAUCGGAGAAGUUGCUAGAGUCCUGCCAAA
rnacentral:misc_RNA from 1 species